rnacentral:rRNA from 2 species
GACGAACGCUGGCGGCGUGCCUAAUACAUGCAAGUCGAACGAACUCUGGUAUUGAUUGGUGCUUGCAUCAUGAUUUACAUUUGAGUGAGUGGCGAACUGGUGAGUAACACGUGGGAAACCUGCCCAGAAGCGGGGGAUAACACCUGGAAACAGAUGCUAAUACCGCAUAACAACUUGGACCGCAUGGUCCGAGUUUGAAAGAUGGCUUCGGCUAUCACUUUUGGAUGGUCCCGCGGCGUAUUAGCUAGAUGGUGGGGUAACGGCUCACCAUGGCAACGAUACGUAGCCGACCUGAGAGGGUAAUCGGCCACAUUGGGACUGAGACACGGCCCAAACUCCUACGGGAGGCAGCAGUAGGGAAUCUUCCACAAUGGACGAAAGUCUGAUGGAGCAACGCCGCGUGAGUGAAGAAGGGUUUCGGCUCGUAAAACUCUGUUGUUAAAGAAGAACAUAUCUGAGAGUAACUGUUCAGGUAUUGACGGUAUUUAACCAGAAAGCCACGGCUAACUACGUGCCAGCAGCCGCGGUAAUACGUAGGUGGCAAGCGUUGUCCGGAUUUAUUGGGCGUAAAGCGAGCGCAGGCGGUUUUUUAAGUCUGAUGUGAAAGCCUUCGGCUCAACCGAAGAAGUGCAUCGGAAACUGGGAAACUUGAGUGCAGAAGAGGACAGUGGAACUCCAUGUGUAGCGGUGAAAUGCGUAGAUAUAUGGAAGAACACCAGUGGCGAAGGCGGCUGUCUGGUCUGUAACUGACGCUGAGGCUCGAAAGUAUGGGUAGCAAACAGGAUUAGAUACCCUGGUAGUCCAUACCGUAAACGAUGAAUGCUAAGUGUUGGAGGGUUUCCGCCCUUCAGUGCUGCAGCUAACGCAUUAAGCAUUCCGCCUGGGGAGUACGGCCGCAAGGCUGAAACUCAAAGGAAUUGACGGGGGCCCGCACAAGCGGUGGAGCAUGUGGUUUAAUUCGAAGCUACGCGAAGAACCUUACCAGGUCUUGACAUACUAUGCAAAUCUAAGAGAUUAGACGUUCCCUUCGGGGACAUGGAUACAGGUGGUGCAUGGUUGUCGUCAGCUCGUGUCGUGAGAUGUUGGGUUAAGUCCCGCAACGAGCGCAACCCUUAUUAUCAGUUGCCAGCAUUAAGUUGGGCACUCUGGUGAGACUGCCGGUGACAAACCGGAGGAAGGUGGGGAUGACGUCAAAUCAUCAUGCCCCUUAUGACCUGGGCUACACACGUGCUACAAUGGAUGGUACAACGAGUUGCGAACUCGCGAGAGUAAGCUAAUCUCUUAAAGCCAUUCUCAGUUCGGAUUGUAGGCUGCAACUCGCCUACAUGAAGUCGGAAUCGCUAGUAAUCGCGGAUCAGCAUGCCGCGGUGAAUACGUUCCCGGGCCUUGUACACACCGCCCGUCACACCAUGAGAGUUUGUAACACCCAAAGUCGGUGGGGUAACCUUUUAGGAACCAGCCGCCUAAGGUGGGACAGAUGAUUAGGGUG